GUGUGUAGGUUAGUAGGUCUUCUGAAGCUUCCAUUUAUUUCCUAAAAUAACCUGGAGAUACAGAGACAGUGUCAGAUAAUAGAGGGUUGGUUUUUUUUUCUAUUAAAAGAAGAGCACUGUAACACGCUUCUACACCAUUUUGUGAUAUGUGUGUCAGGCACAUACUGUACAGUGAACUGUUUCUGGUAUUAACCAGUGUAGGGUUCAGGCUGUGUUUGUUUUGUCAGACAGACACAGUCGUCCUGUUAACUUUUGGGUAACACCAGUGCCUCAUCUGAUAAAAAAUAAUGGCUUAAACAAAGGACUUGGAGUAGUUUGCUACUGGAAGAAUCCAACAGGAGAGCUUCCCGAUGCCAUCCCUUCUUCCUCAGAGCACCCACUAGGGCAGAAAGCCAGGCCUGGCACCCGAUGGACCCACAUGGGUCAGGGCAAGUGAAAGGUCAAGGGUAGCGUGGCAUCCUCCCCACAUGGAAGCUCCAUCACUGAGGCACUCUGGGGAGUCGGACUCUGAAAUGGAUUUUUAUUUGCUGCCAGUGGUAAAAAAGCAGAAAAUAGAUGUCAGAGGUAAAGUCUCAGUGGGCAUGUUGCUGGAGGUUGUGUGGAGACAUCCUGCUCUGGGAUCAGGGACCACCUGCUCACUGGGAUUUACCUGAUCUGUUAGAAAAAUCUCUAAUUGUAUAGAAUCUAAAGGCUCUACCAAGAGAUUUUAACUCUCCCCUCCUACUGAAAAAUGGAAACCUGUAGGUCCCCUUGGCAUCGCAAGGGAGUGACACAAAGAGACCUUCUUCUUUUUUCAGCACCUUAAAGUGUGUUGCAGUAUUGCCUGUGACCAGGCCGGUCCAUCCUGCUGCCCACACCCUGUUGAUGGGAUUUAUGUUCUUCUGUCGAUGUUGAGAGCAUCAGGGCAUCUUUUGGAGUUCACCCCAAUUCCCCGAUGAAGAGAUUUUCUCCACAGGGCUGAGCAGAAAUUGACUGAGGAUGAGUCGGGGUCCAAGGGAUGCUUGUGUGGUCUGUGGCAGCCCUGGCUGAGCUGCUCAGCCAAGAGGUGCUCUCCUAGGAGCAGUGGGGGGAGAGGGAGUGCUGCCCACUGCCUGAACUGUCUUCCAAGGGUCAAACUGUUCAACUUCAGCCCCUUUGCCAGACUCAAUCCUACUUUACGGGAACAAAGGCACAAAAUAGGCAACGAUCAAGAAAUGGGAGCACAAUGAUUUAAGCUUAUCACACAGCCCAGAAAUAAAGGACUCUGAGCUUGUGUGCGGGAGGCAGUGGGGGGAAACCUUCAGAGAGGCUUUGUUUGCUGUAAGAAGAUUGAACUCUGAGGUGACCCAACAGCCCUAAAAGUUUAGGGUCUGUGUUGCUGAGAGACCUUUGGAUACAGUCUGUCCACACUCCGACCUCACAAGUCGUGAGCCAGCAUUAAUGGCUUGCCUGGCCUCACCCCUCCCAACUCUGUGUCCUGAGGCCCCCCCGGGAGUCUCCUGAGGGUUUGGGUGACCAGGGCACCCCCAAUCCUUGUGGAUAGCACCCACAACCUGAUGUGGGGAAAAGAACAGCCGAUUGUGUGAAAACCCCAGUGCCUGCAAAAAGGGACACUGGCUGUCCAGGCGAAGGUGCGCAAGGGAGAGCACUAAUCGCUGAACCAGGAGACAAAUACGAUUACCAGCUCUGAGCCUUGAGUCAGAAAGUCUCAUAGACUUUAAGAUGUUAAUCCCCAACAUAAUCCUUCCUUUGGCGUGUAGGAAUAGUGCAGCCACAAGAGUUGUUUUGUUAUUUAUAUUGGCGUUUAAUAAAACUCAGCCAGCAGUGAAUGGGCUGCCCACUCUCCAA